rnacentral:rRNA from 1 species
UACGUAGGGGGCGAGCGUUGUCCGGAUUCAUUGGGCGUAAAGAGCUCGUAGGCGGCUCGGUAAGUCGGGUGUGAAACCUCCAGGCUCAACCUGGAGACGCCACCUGAUACUGCUGUGGCUAGAGUCCGGUAGGGGAGUGUGGAACUCCUGGUGUAGCGGUGAAAUGCGCAGAUAUCAGGAAGAACACCAGCGGCGAAGGCGGCACUCUGGGCCGGAACUGACGCUGAGGAGCGAAAGCGUGGGUAGCAAACAGG